rnacentral:lncRNA from 1 species
CCAGGUCUUUCUUCUCUUCUUUAAAGCCUGGAGCUGGACUUCUUUUUCCUGACUCGAUUCACAGUUUAAUCACACUAAGCCAGAGCCCAACCAGGGUGAGAGAGAUAGGAGAGUAGGGACGGGGAACCAAUGUCACCAACAACACUAGCAGUCUCGGAUCUUUGAAUAGACAGAGAGAGAUGCUCUUCCUGCGGCCCAAGAGCGUAUUCGUUCAAAGAGCUGGCAAUGACUUUCUUCCCACCCGGAAAUCGUAGUAAGCCGG